AUCGCUUCUCGGCCUUUUGGCUAAGAUCAAGUGUAGUAUCUGUUCUUAUCAAUUUAAUAUCUGAUACGUCCCCUACCCGGGGACCAUAUAUUAAAUUGAUUUUUGGAACUGGGAGAUGGAAUAGGGGCUUGCUCCAUCCGCUCCAUGCAACCAGCCUGUGCCUCCCGCUAAGCGCAGCUGCUCCAUGC